AUGGGGUGCAGCAGGCGAGAAAACUUUGCAAUGUGCGAAAGCACGACAAGGUUAAUCCGAGUGUUUUCUGCUAAAGAAAUCUUUUGUUAGUUCUAAAACCACUAACGAAUAAGGGGUGGGCAAGUUCUGGUGUCAGCCGCCGCGGUAAAACCAGCACCUCAAGUGGUCAGGAGGAUUAUUGGGCCUAAAGCAUCCGUAGCCGGCUAUGUUAGUUUUCGGUUAAAUCCAUGUGCUCAACACAUGGGCUGUCGAGAAUACUGCAUAGCUAGGGAGUGGGAGAGGUAGACGGUACUCGGUAGGAAGGGGUAAAAUCCUUUGAUCUAUCGAUGACCACCAGUGGCGAAGGCGGGCUACCAGAACACGUCCGACGGUGAGGGAUGAAAGCUGGGGGAGCAAACCGGAUUAGAUACCCGGGUAGUCCCAGCUGUAAACUAUGCAAACUCAGUGAUGCAUUGGCUUGUGGCCAGUGCAGUGCCGCAGAGAAGUCGUUAAGUUUGCCGCCUGGGAAGUACGUACGCAAGUAUGAAACUUAAAGGAAUUGGCGGGGGAGCAC
rnacentral:rRNA from 1 species